CGCCUCCCGCGGCCCCUGCCUGGAGAGCCAGGGUGUGAGAGCUACAACCCAGGCUAAUUAUGGGGAGACAGGCAGAGGUGGGGAGAGGCGCACAGAGCCAGCAGGAGCCCCGAGGGAUGAAGACAGACAGACCUUAUUGAAGGAAGAGAAAGAGAAACACAGGAAAACAAAGGCACGCAGAGAGGAACAGCUUGGAUUCCUACUCCUAUUGAGUGACAAGAGGAGGCAGAGAGCCCAGGGCCGGCAGGUGGAGGGAAGCUCUCCUGGGAGGGGGUCCUGCCAGCUCCCCCGCUGAGGCUGCAACUUGGGGCCCAGCAGGCCUCCUCUGCACCCUGGGACCAUGGAAGGCAGAUGCAGGCACCAGGAUGGUGGAACUCUGAAGGAGGACCAUCUUUAUUCUAAGCUGCGGCUUCCCGGGCUCCGCCUUCCUGCCUCUUGGGUUUCAAAUGAGUUUUGACCUUGGGCCCCAAGCGUCCCAGUUUGUUUUUUUUCAACAAACACUUGCUGACACCUGCUAACUCUGUCCCAUGGCUUUUCCAGGUGACUAAGACGGGUGCUGCCCCCUGCUGGCGCCCGGGCCCCUGCCCUGGACUGGGAAGGCCCUUGAAGGCCAGGUGAGGUCCUGGGGUGGGGACAUGGCGGAGUCUGCCCCUGGGCAUCAGGAGUGUGAGGCUUCCGACUGAACCUCUCCCCGCGUUUCACACGGAAGCAGUGGAGCCCCCGAGUUGGCAGAGAGCUCCUGAUACCCAUGACUCUCUGGGUUCCCAUCGCCCUCCCCACACCGGUGAGGAACUGAGGCUCGGGAGCCUGCAAGUUCCUUGAGACCAGGAGGAUGGGACCUUACUUCCCUCUGCCUUUCCAAAGCCCAACGCAGGUCCAGCACAAAGUACAUGCUCAAGAAACAGUUUCCCAGUUGUAUGAUCCCAAGAGGUUUUGAUUGUCACUUUCUCUCGUUUCCUGCACUGGAGUAGGAGCCUCGCCGGGCAGGGUGGACACAUUAUUUUGUUCUUAUGUGCUGCUGAGGAUGGAACCCAGUGCCUCAUGCCUGCCAGGCGAGCGCUCUGCCGCUGGGCCACAACCCAGCCCCUGGGAGGGCUUUUACUGCAGUCAGUUUUGCACACAUACGAUCGUCUCUCAGUAUCCCCCACAGGUGCUGACCCUGGAGUAAACCCGAUUUCCCCUCCAAUUCUCACCUCCCAGGUGUUGGCUUGCGAGCGGCGAGCACAUGGACUCGGUGCCCAUCUGCAGUUGAUGGAAUCCGUGGAGCAGGAGGGCGGAGGACUGACCGUAGGUGGGAAAUGCUAGAACAGUGCCAGAUGCAGGCUCUGGAAGUAUCUGCGCGAUGCCCCGAGGCUGCACACGCCCCGUGGUGGGACCUCAGGACGGUGAUGCUCAAGGCAGCCGCAACCAUCAGCUGUGGCCGCUGCCUAUUUGACCCCGUGUCCUGACCCUAGGUGGGAGAGAGCCCAGGUCCUGCGGAGUCCUUCCCGGGUCUCUGCUGCGGGAGCUCACUGUUCCCGAGACGGAGCUCCUGGCGUCACAGUGAGUGGGCACCUCACUGGACCCCGGGCUCCCGUCAGCAGAGGAGGCCCAUCCGAGCCCUCCCACAGGCUGCCCGGGGAGACGGCCAGCCCCCUCUCCAGCACGGCCCCCCGCUUCUGCGCUAUAGCCACAGCCUGGGUCAUGGCACUGAGCUAGCUCUUGAAGGGACAGGCCAGGCGCCAGGCCACAUCUAGCCUUUGCCUCUGGAGCCGCAGGCCCUGCUGGGGGUCUCUGCAAGGAGAUGGCAGCUCCAGCUCUGCCCAGCCCCGGGGAGGGGCUUGCUGUGCGAACACAGGCCCCCGGCCUCCCCCAAGGCCCGGGGAGCUCUGCGCUGGACAGGAAUCUGCAGGACAGACCCCGCCCCCACGCAGAGCCUGCAGAGUGGUGUUGGGGAACCUGGGGGCUCACGGGACACAGAAAUCAGGAAGUCUUUUUACGCCCAAGGGGGCGAUGCUUGGCACCCCCAAGCCCCGUGGGGACUCCCUGGAGACACCGGGCCCUCUCAGUUUGUCCCCAGGAGCAAGCCCAGGCCUGAGUCUCCUUUCCCAGAAGCCCACGCUGCUCCCUGUCCAGCAUGGCUGUCCAGGCCGUGUGGGGCUCCUUUCUGGGGGGCCCAGGCCCCGGAGCCUGCCUGCUGGGGAGAUCUGGGCCCUCGGCGGAGCAGGACAGUCCCUGAGUGCCACAGGAUGAGGCAGGGACCUGGGGGCCUGCCACAGGCCAGGGCCGGCUGGAGGCACAGCGACCGGGGACCGCUUCCUCAGGCAGCCGGUCCUCUCCGUCCACCCAGCGGGCACCAGUCCAGGUGCCUCGGGCUCUCUGCACCCACCUGCUCAGCCCGGGUGGCACUGGGUGGGGGUGGGCCCCUGCAGAUGGCGGCGCCUCACUCCUUUGCUGGCUGUCGAACACCUGCU